CGACCGGCGCACGGGUGAGUAACGCGUAUCCAACCUGCCUUACACUCUUGGACAGCCUUCUGAAAGGAGAUUAAUACAAGAUGUUAUCAUGAGUAAGCAUUUUCACAUGAUUAAAGGUUUACCGGUGUAAGAUGGGGAUGCGUUCCAUUAGAUAGUAGGCGGGGUAACGGCCCACCUAGUCUUCGAUGGAUAGGGGUUCUGAGAGGAAGGUCCCCCACAUUGGAACUGAGACACGGUCCAA
rnacentral:rRNA from 1 species